AGUUUGUAACAUUCAUCCCUCUUAUGUCCAUGGCCUUAGCCUUAUUGGUAUACAAAUCAUUUUUUUGUACAAUUAUUCACAUAUUUAUCUUGUUAGGCUGUUGAUAUUUCACUGCAUUCUGGUUUAGUUUCAGAUUUCUGGGGCUAUAUCCUUGAUGUCCAUGGCCUUAUUGGUAGUUUAUCGUUGUUUUGGUGGUGAGUUGUAGUUUAGUGUGUGCCCUGGUUGUUUGUUUAACUGUAACUUUUUGUUUCUGCACUUGUUUGUUGCUCAUUAACCCUUUUUUUUUUUUAGUUUGUGGUUCAUGAUAUAGCUUUCCUCUCUAAGACUUUGUCCCCUGUGUAUGCUUUGGUUGUCAAACAUUGUGAGUGAUUUUGCAUAUUGUUUUUGUUUCAGUUUCUUUUCAUUUUGAUUUGUUGAAUCUAGUUGCAGCACUGGCUAAGCAAAACUCUCAUUUUAGGCUGUGAAUCAUUCAUUGUGCAUUGGCCUUGCUCUUUUGGAAUGUUCUUGUUAGGCUAUAUCAGCUGCAUUCACAAGCUUGCAGUAUCUUUAUCUAUGCAGACCUUGAACAUGCUUUAAUAUUUGCCUUGAAGCAAUUUUCAAUGACCCUUAACAUUGUUUGCAUUUGUAUUAUGUUCUGGAUGUGAAAUUGUCCAAAAUUUUCUUUCUUUUUUUUCCAGUCAGAGGAUUUAAUGUCAUUAUUUCAACUUCUUCUUUUUCCCCAAGAAGAAUAACAGUCCAUUUCCAAAGCCUCCAACAACUCAGAAGGCCAAAUAUCCAAGUCACAAUCACCCCUUUUAGCUUCAAGAGCAAUUCUGCUCACACAAUGAUCAGCACCAUUGCAACCUCUCGGAUAGCAGUAAUAGGUGUUGUCGCAGAAGAAAAAAAAAACUUUAAUAUCCCAUCACAUUCCUGCUAUAUCCCCAAGUCAGUAAUAUCUUUAAAGCUCGUUUAUGAACCAAAAUCUCUGCUCGCAGUACUCACAUGAUGCAGAAAAUCUGAAGCCACUUUUAAAGCUAAGCCUCCACCACACUCCAUUGAAGGUUAAUUAUACGCAGUGUCAAAGUUAGCCAUAAAAUCCCUUCUGCGGGUCUGGUCCGAUGGGUAGGAUACUCUUUCUCUAAUUAGGCAACAGAGCUGACCAAUCAAUUCUAUCAGAUUCAGAAAAUUCUUGUAGUAUGAAUUUUCAGUGUAGUUCUUUUGAAUUUUAUUUUUAGUUCAAGGGAGUGAUUUUUCUUUUCUUAAUUUUAACCCUUAAAACACCAUAGGGAAGAAAAGAAAACAAUAAGAAUAAAAGAGACUUGAGAAAAACUAACGAAGCUAUAAAAAACUUGAGGAAAAAUAUUGGUUCUGUUCUAUAACAUAGUUUUUACAGCUUUUCUUUACAUGGUGAUGAAUUGGAUUUGGAUGAAUACUUUAGAAUAUGUUCAUAUUAUUUUCAUGAUUCGAUCACAAAGAGGUUCGUGUUGUUUUGAAACUUUAGUUACGCUUACUCUUUGUUUUUCCUUCUAUUUUGGUGCUCGAUGAUACGAGAAUGUAAUUAAGCUUUGUACUUCUUUUUUGCGUGAUAGUUCUAAACGUGCUGAAGUCCCUAGGUAUGUAAGGAAAGAUGAUGCUGAGGCUGCAGUGGAUGGAGUUAAGGAAGAACUCAAGAAACUCAACAAGGGCGUGGGGGCGUUCUUGGAAGGAUUGAAGUCGUCGAAGUGACCAUUUCUAUAGCGGUUUCAACUUAAAAGACCAUUUGCCGGCAGAAGGGAACUUUCAUGGGCAAGGUGGUGUGUAACGACAGGCAUAUUAGGAAGGUGGUGCUGUAUUUUGAUGAUGGUUUUAGAUUGCCCCCAUGAAGGCAAGCAAGGGGGAUCUCUGCCUGCACUAGAGCUUAUGGGGCUUGGAAGAUUGGCAAAAGAUAAAGCAAGAAUGCUCUGAAUGGGCCAACGGAAAAGGGUGCAGCUUGCAAGGUUGCUGGCAAUUGAUCGGCCAAUUUGGUUGUUAGGCAAGCCUUCAGUAGCAUUGGAUACUGAAGGGGUUAAGUUGGUGGAGUACUGAAAGAAAGGAGGGAUUGUGAUUGUGGUCACACAUCUGCCAAUUGAGAUUGAUGAUGCAAUGCAUUUGAGGUUGCCACCAAGGUUUCCUCGAAGGAUGACUUUAGUAGACAUGCCUGAUGGAGCUGGUUAGAGAAUUGAAUUGGUAAUGUAAUUAACCCUGCAAGAACUGGGACUGAACUAUAAGAGGCUUUCUGGAAGGUUGAAAAGUUUGGCAAAAAAUAAAAGCUUUGAAAACUCUAACAGGGAGAAGUGCAAUCCUCAACAUGGAGGCAGUUAGUUUGCUUGAGAGUUGAAAGAAAUUGUAGUUUCAUUGUCCAUUGCAUUUCAGUACAGCAUAUAUGUAUUAUUUGUUGGUGAUUUCAUGUAAUGUUUUGCUGGAUUCUAAAAUCCUGACAAUUUUAGAUUUGAACUA